ACUGCUUAAUCUUGGUCAAUCAUGCCAUGUGUCACGGUCCGGGUGAGUGCAGUGUUUUUCCAUAGAGCAGGGGCUCCACUUCCGGGUGCAAUCUCCAUUCAGCAGUCUCACCUGUCUGCAAUCAAGCUACCAGUACUUCAGACCAGCACACUCAACAUGUCGGCGCCAGAUCUACAUCUAACCAGUGUUAGUUAACCUGCCUGUCAUCACACUUCACUUUUGAGCAAUACUUACCUUCAUUAGGACGCUGGUCUUCCUGCAAUUACGCAGUCUGGUUACGCUCCAUUCCUCUCUACACGCCACCUGUCUGCCUCCCUGUCACAGCUUCUGAAACUCAUUUGGAUCUGUACAUUUGGACUCAAACCUGACCUGGACCUUUUGGUCUACCCUCCUUCCAUGUCGUUCUCUGCCUGGAACGAUGACUCUGGACACCUCCACCCGAGCCACAGGCCCUUCUCCCCUUGAGCCUGUUUCAUGGACUUUUGAAUUAACCUUAGCUCACAGAUUAAGCUUCACGUUUUUGACUUUUCAGGUUGUUCCAUAGUUCACAGAUCAUAGUUGUUACUCGAAGAUUUUCUCCCACUCUGUAAAUAA